UGUAUCUGUUGCUCCAAGGGUCACUGAAGCAAAGAAUACAGUGAAUUGGUUUGAAACUCACAAGUCUCAACCUUUAGAAUGGAAGUUCUCAUCCUGGCUGGCCUUUUGAGCACUGCCACUGCUCUGCCCAUCCCCCUUGAACAAUAUGGUGGAAGUUCCAGUGAACAGAGAUUUAUCUUUUUCCCACCACAAGUAGCACCAUUUUUCCCUCAGGUCCAAUUUCCCCUACUUCCACAAUCACCCCUGGUCCUCACACCUAACGAUCUUAUAGCGUUAUUCAUUGCUAUUUUGAACCAAUUAGGGAUUUCAUUUCCUUGACUAAAUUGAUAAAAAAAUAAUUCUCCCACUACUAUGUCAGAAGUUACAUAUGGUGGUGCUGGAUAUUUACAGUUAUGAAAAGAUUAUCU